AUUUCUUAAAAAAUUACGAAAGAGCCCCAAUUACGCCGGAAAAAUGAAUGGAGGAUAAGGAAUAAGGAAUAUUUCAUGGAUUUAAAAAUCGUUAAUUUUAUUAAACGUAAAUUGGAGUGGAAUCAAUUUGUAUGGAUAUUCAUAUCUAAAUUGUGGGCGGUGGAGGAGGAGGAGGAGGAAAAGGAGGCGUGCCCUGCAACGGAAAACCCGAAAACUGAAAAUCAGCCAAACGGAAAAACAAAACACGGAAUGGAUUAUGAUCUGGACCCAAAUCGGAUG
rnacentral:sRNA from 1 species